ensembl:lncRNA
GUGCCCCGUUCAGCACCACGGUACAUUCAGAGCCGUUCUGGAGGUGCCUUCAUAGGCUGGGCUGUGCUUGAAGCCCUCUGAGAGCCUCCCAGAGGCAUGAUUCAGCAGGAGGGGGCUGGUUGAGGGCUCAGCCUCUCCAAAAUGAUGCAUAUCACUGUUUACUGACUACUACUUUUCUGCAGUUUCCACCCCCCAGUGCCUGAGCUGUGUCCCUAAUUAACAGCAGAGGACGAGGACAAGCCAGAGCCUUUGGGAUGCUUCUGGGCAGAGCCCGGGGAGGGACCGGACCCGUUAGCGGCUGAUUGAGUGCCUGUCAUUUAUUACAAUACUGGGACAAGGAGAAACAAUGAGAUGAAUGUCACGCUUCCCAGAGGUGUCAGAUAAGGGCAUGAUGCUGCUGGCAUUGCUGUAGCACCACGAUGGGUUGGAAGGAGCACCUCUGCCCUCUUCUGGGACAGCCACAGCCUCACUUGACCUCUGCAACAAUUUAAAGCCCCUCUGAUAGACAGCUCAUUGAUCCAGCAUGGCUGGAGGAAGUCAACAUACCAUGAUUUGGAAGUUUGCAAUCACAUUCUUCACUUUGGCCAUCAGUGUACACAAAACUCAUCCAUGCUUCAGCUUGUGUAUCUGUAUGUGUAGGUCUCAUUCGCUUGUGGUCCAGGCUUUCUUUCUGUUUUUUUUUAAAUUUUAUUUUAUUUUUUGGCUGCCUUUAAUUUGUGUCCAUUCAGUAACCACUAGUUGUAGGCCUGCUGGGAUCAGCCCUCUUUACAGAAGCUGCUCCCUGCAACCACAACCAUUUUAGAAAAAUCAGGAUGUAAUGGAGUAUUUAUUCUUUGAUUGUUUAACAACAUCUGAGAAUUCCAGCAACUCUUAUAAGACCUCGAGGAAUGCAGAGCCAGAAGAGGAAAAGCCCUGCCAGAAUCAGCUCCUGACAAUAAUGUGCAAGGCACUCUAUUUUAUUUCUUUUGGACUGCAGAAAUCGGAGCUAAAGAAUAGCUAGGAUAAUGAAGCGUACACUGUUUUUAAUUUGCCACAAGCCAACACAUUUCUGGAAUGUGGGGGUCUGGCUAUAUUCAUUUAAUAAAGAAUGAAUAAGGAGCGGUGCAUGGGGUUGAAUAGGAUGAUAUAUGAUGCUGCAAUGUGUAUGGAAUAUAAGGAAUGUCACUGCAAUAUCACAGUGAUCACACAGCAAUUCAGAUAUACCCUUCCCAAGGGAAAUUGCUAGGAUCUGGGGGUGGGCUCUUUGAAUUUGUUCCAACAACACAAGGGGGGAUGAGCUUUUCUGACCAACAUUACUGCUCAUUGCAGUGCAUGUACAGAAGAGAUGAGCAAAGGGCUGCAUGGAGCAUUAAGCAAGAGACCUUUCUGAUAUCACAAAACUUGUACCCCUUGAGUGAAGCUUUUGAGUUGAAUGGUAUCCCACAUCAACCAUCACCUGUGGACAAGCCAAGUCUGAAAUCCCCAGCAGCCAUGAUAAUGGAGCUGCUACAGAAGCAAUGCCAGUGUGGCAGAAGAACAGAGUGGCUGCUAUCGUAGAUGGAGAAACAAUAAUCCCUGCCGACCAAGAUGACAACUUUUCUUUGGAUCUGGCAUCAAGUAGAAGGUUCUUUUGAAAGAAAAAGAAAUAUCCUUUUUUUUUUUUAAGGGAAAAUUCAGGGGGGAAAGUCCCCCCACCACAUUAUUCUGGCUCUUUUUUAUUGCCACAGACUGUUUGGAUGAACUCAAAAAUACAUUUUUGGGUAGGAAAAAAGGUUCUGACAACAUUGUAGGUUUUUUUUAGCCUUCUAAUGGUGCUUUCACAAAUAUUACACCAUCCCAGCUUCUUCAUGAAAGUUUCUAGUUGAGAGCUGUGCUCUGAAAACACACAAAAUGUUCUUUUUUUCUGUGUUUAUAACAAGUGGAUAAGGCUAGAGCUGGCAAAAUGGCAAAGGAAUUUUAAUGCUGUAGAAAGAGUGGUGGGCCAUUAGCUUAAUGCCUCCACACAUCUCUCACUAGCUGGCUUUCAUCCUAUAGCCCUUCUUGCAUGCAUUCAGUAUGUCUCAACCAGUCUUCAAGUUUGCCAAUAAAACAUCAGUGGUGUUACUGUGUCUUUCUUUCAUGUCUAGAAGUCUUAAUAUACAUAUAUAUAUUCCUAGUUCCAAAAUAAUUCCACCUUCAGGAAAGUGAAAUAAUUAUUCUUGAGUUGCAGUUGUUACAAGGACUAUAGAAAAAAUAAUGACUGUCUGAGUUUUGAUGUUUUCACCUUAGAAACGUGGCGUGCAUCUUCCACUGUAACUGCAAGAGUAGAAAGAGAUGACAGGUUCAGUGAGACUUUUUCACCUACUCUGGAUUUUUAUCAUAAAGAUUAAUUUCUUGUUGUUCUCCAUCAAUAACUUCCUCUCCAG